AGGUGGGUUAUUUCCAUAGGAAUUUUCUCUCUCUCCCACUCUCUUUAUCCAACUAACUCCUAUUCACUAUUCAGGUCUCAAAUUAAAGACAACACUUCUGUGGGGCUUCUUUCCAGCUCCCUUGAGAUGGGGUCAGGUGCUUCUCUGCUGGGCUCCUUGGCAUCCUGCUGAGUACAUUUCACACCCUAAGGCUGCAGUGCCCAUUUGCCCAUCCAACCAAAGGCUCCACAUGGCAAGCACAGAGCCUGUCUCAGCCACUGCCGCACUGUCAGCUUUGGUUUAGCGCGUGCCAAGCGUGGGGUUUUCUGUUUGUGUGUCUCGUCAGCUCACCUGGCCACACAUUCCACUCAGGACAGUGGCCCAUGUGAUAAGGUUUUUCUUUAAAUGGGACACACUCUACCCCUAUGUUUGUCUUCUGUUUACAGGCUUACCUGUCAUCACUGAGAGCUCGAACCCCCAACAUCCCCUGCGUGCGUGCAUAUUUGAAUAUGAGUUCUCUGCUGUCUUUAACCAUCUUUUCUCCAGCCCACAGACUAAGAAACAGCUGAGAGCCCUGCAAAGGUCUCGGCCAGGGUAGUACCUGACCACUCCAUCUCUCCUCCCUUGACAUUUUCCCUCUUGCCAAAAUAUUGCAACAAGAACUUAGCACCACCAGGAGUGGCCUGACCAAGGCAGAAUAGAAGAGAAUUACCACAUCUAUUGUUUAGAACCGGAUGCCACUCAAAGGCACGCAGGACGUUAAUUCCCCCACCAAGGAUCAGACCUGUGCCCCUGCAGUGGAGGUGCUGUGUCUUAAUCACUGGACCACCAGGGAAGUCCCUUAGACCCUUACUCUUUUGUUAAUGCCAGGUUAGGCCCCUACGGAUUUACUGGAUGGAUGCACUGUGGAGAUUACGGCAGCUCUGCCGUGUUCAGCAGCUUGUGUGAAAAAGAUGUUUGGAUGAGGGUUCAUUCACAUCUCACCUUGACUUGAGAGCAUACAGUUGAUUUCACUGAUUAACAUUGGACGCAAGUAGAACAAUUUUCAUUUAGCCCUGUUUUAACAUUUGUUUGGUAAUUGGGUUUUUCAGAUGCUACUGUGAUCACAGAAACUUGCAUAUUAUGCGACGUUCCUGUGAAUUCAAGUGAAGCGGAAUCCUAUAUUACAU
rnacentral:lncRNA from 1 species